GUAGAGAGGUGGAGUCCUAAGGGCGGAAAGUCUUAAGCAGGUAGAGUUAUCAGAAUAUGGAGAAAAUGAGUGAGAGGGAGCUAGCCCAACGAAAGACUAUAUGGAAAGCCCUAUGGAUACCUACAAUCUCACAAUCCAAUUGAAAAAUAUACUUGGAGGAUUAGUAGACUAUAUAAAGCACUCAAGAAAAGUGGGGGAGUGUUGGAGCUUAAAUGAUUAAGUAGGGUUAAUGCAGUUGUUGGGACUAAACUCAGGACCUCUGGAAGAACAGCCAGUACUCUUAACUACUGAGCCAUCUCUGGGUUAAACAAAACUAAAGAUGCAUUUUUUUUUCAAAAAGCUUUAUGAAAAUGCAUUAGUUAGCAAGCUAAUUAUAAAAUAUAACUUUAUAUUUUUAUUUAAGAGUUCAAACAGAAUUAUCCUACAUAGGUGGGUCAUGCCACUCCCAGAAGACUUGGUUUAUUAAAUGAAAAUUAUAAUUCAAGAUAUGGUAUAUUUCUCUACAAGUUAUCAUUCAGAGAAGCCCCAAAGGUUUCUAGAACUAAAUAGACAGCAGCCAUUGCCCUUAGUUACCCACCAUACCUACAUGCUAAGGUUCUUUUGCUGAAGACAACACACAGUAUGGCUACAGAACAUUGAGAAAUCAAUCUUAAACCAGCCAAGAAACCUCUUCCCUGUAGGCUAGCAUUCCUAGUGCCAAACGGUGCUAUGUAGUUUCUAGGGAAGAAACUAUAUGAAUGGCCAGUGCUGACCCUGCAUACUACAAUACUAUCUUAUUAGGUUAGGUGAGCCUACUGGUGCAAUCGUGGCACAAUUUAAUCAACAGCUCCUGGUUAGAUUUGAGGCUGCUCCAUAGGAAGAAGUGUCAUGCCUGGUAGUGUAAUACUGCUCAAACACCUAUGUCUCUGAAGACAGCAGGGGAGGGCCAGAGGCCCUAGGAAAGGAACUGUUAUUUUUAUUUUGCUAAAUGGAUAUGUCAGCAAAUUGCCUUCUAAAUAUCUAUUUACACAUGAAGACUUGGGCUUCUAUCAACCUUUGUCAAAGAAUCUUUUUUACAGUGUGUUGUGCCCCAUUUUGGCCCUGGUUUGGGCCUUGAGGACAAACCCGAGCCUGGCUUAAGUUUUGAGACCUGUCUCAGUCACUUUCGUAUUGGAGUAACUCAGCAAGCCUGUUUGGCCCUGCCUCUACCCCACCAUUGCUGAUGUAGAGCUUUGCCAUUGGCCCUGUCAGUCACUCCAUUCCCUCUGUCACCCUUCCCUGCCUCCUACAUCAUCUUACCCCACCAAAAAUCCCUCUCCUUAUGUUCAGAACUUAUAUAAGCAAGAGGCUAAUGCUAUAAAGUUGAGUCCUGCUUCGACAAGACUCCCAGCUCAGUGUAUUUCUUUUGGGCCAUUGACACUCACCGUCCCACUCAGCCCCAGAGAGACCCCAGCAGGACUGGGACCUCCCUCCUCUUGCCUGGAGCCAGCAGC
rnacentral:lncRNA from 1 species